rnacentral:rRNA from 1 species
UACGAAGGGGGCUAGCGUUGUUCGGAUUUACUGGGCGUAAAGCGCGCGUAGGCGGACAUUUAAGUCAGGGGUGAAAUCCCGAGGCUCAACCUCGGAACUGCCUUUGAUACUGUAUGUCUGGAGUUCGGGAGAGGUGAGUGGAAUUCCGAGUGUAGAGGUGAAAUUCGUAGAUAUUCGGAGGAACACCAGAAGCGAAGGCGGCUCACUGGCCCGAUACUGACGCUGAGGCGCGAAAGCGUGGGGAGCAAACAGG